rnacentral:lncRNA from 1 species
UCCAAAUUUUGUCCAUUUGCCCUUUUGCUGUAUAUUUCUUAAAGUGCUAUUUUUGUUGUGGUUUCAGUGAUUCUCAUCCAAAACAUAGCAGCCUCAUGUCAUGGAAAAACACUGGACUGGGAGAAUCAAUUCUCAUCUCAGUCCUUGUAGUAAAUGAAAAGAUUGGAGCUUUUGGAAAACCACUUUAACUCUUCGGACCAGUUUCGCCAGCUGUGUAUCCGUCUGCCACAUAAGGUCACUUCUUUCAGCUAAUAUUUUAAAUUUUUAUUAGAACCAGCACAUAACAGUGAGCUAAAAGGAUAUCCCUCUGUAGAAAUUUGACGUCCCAUGCUUCAAAAUAACACUGCUUAGCAUUUGGAGCGAGUGUCAGUGUUGGCAGAGUGUGUAAGUCUUAGCGUUAGAAAAGCAAAUACCAUUAACUUAGUGAAAUGAUAGUUUGAAAAAAUUUAAAAGUAUUAAGAAUAACAUUUAAUUUUUUUCUGUUAUGCUAAUAAUCCAUGUUCAUUGUAUAACUUUAUGAAAUUCAGCAGAAAGUAAAAAAUUGGUCUUAAUCUCACUACUCAGAGCUAACCAGUAAUGUUUUGAUAUGUUUUUAUUCUUUUCGACUCUUUAUAUUUCUCGUAUGUUCAAUGACAUACAUAUGAUUUACUUUUACAAAAUUUGUAAAAAUAUUUUUACAUUAUUUGUGCUAUUUCGUUCAUUUUUUUUCACUUGAGAAAACACGGCGUGUCGUUUGCCGUGUCCUUAUUCUGAAACAUGAUUUUUGAAAGUGUUUUGUUUUUGUUUUUGAACUAUGAUACAGAUAUUUGCCAGAUAGAAAGAUUUAAGUGGUAACUAGUUUAUAAAAGCAGAAAAUUAAACUUUCUCUUCACACACUGCCAACUCACUUUGUCUUAGUCACAUUCCCUGGAGGUAACUCCAUUUAAAGCUCGGGGUAUAUUCUUAUGGUCAUUAAAAACAUAUAAGUAUAUAAAUGUAUAUGUAUGUCUGUGUGUGAGAGAGUGUUUUCCUUAAAUAAGGUCAUUCCACUCAAGCCAUUUUACAUUUUGUAGUUUUUUUGGGCAGCAUCAUGAGUGGAUAGUUUCUUUCUUUUUUUUUUUUCUUCUGGUUUUACUGAGAUAUAAUUGACAUACAGCACUAUGUAAGUUUACGGUGUACAGAAUAAUGAUUUGACUGACAUACAUUAUGAAAUGAUCAUCACAAGUUUAGCGAACAUUCAUCAUCUCAUAUGGAUGCAAAGUUAAAGAAAUAGAAACAAAAUUUCCUUGUGAUGAGAACUCUUAGGAUUUACCCCUACCAACUUUCACAUGCAACAUACAGAAGUACUGAUUAUUUUUUUGUGUGUUGUACAUUAUAUCCCUAAUACUUAUCUUUAAAAAAAUCAAUUAGCAAUACUUAUAACUGGAAGUUUGCACCUUUUGACCACUUUCAUCCAAUUCUUCCUCCCCUCACUCCACCUCUGAUAACCACAAAUCUGAUCUCUUUUUUUUCUAUGAGUCUGGUUUUGAAUUAUAAUUGAUUUCCAACACGAUGCUAGUUCCCAUACACAACAUAGUGUCAGUAUUUCUAUACAUUUGAAAAUGAUCAACAGGUUGGAUACUUUCUAGUGAGUAUAUGCGAUCAAAAUCGCCUCAGUAUUAUGAUUUCAUCCAUGUUUGUACACUUUUUUUUGAGUAAAUAAAAUGUCUCCUAUUGUUGGACAUUGUGGUUGAUCUGAAUUUAUUUUAUUUUGCUUUAAAAGUGUUGCAUAAAUAUCUUGUAUCUAGUUUUUGGAGUCAUCUUUGAUUAUUUCCCCAGGACGAAUUCCUAGAUAUAAUUUGACUGGGUCAAAUCUUGUGUCUGUGUGACUUUUGAUACUUAUUGCCAGUUUUCCUGUAGAAAGAUCAUCUUGGUUUACAUUCUCAGAAGCCAUGCAGGAGAAGCUCUGGCCUGCCCUUUUCCAGUUCUGAACGUGUGGAAAUUUAAAGAGGGAGUGGGAUGGACUGGGAGUUUGGGGUUAAUAGAUGCAACCUGUUACAUUUCGAAUGGAUAGACAAUGAGGUCGUGCUGUAUAGCACAGAGAACUCUGUCCAAUCACUUGUGGUGGAAUAUGAUGAAAGAUAAUAUGAGAGAGAGAGUGUGCAUAAAUGUACGACUGGGUCACUUUGCUGUACAGCAGAAAUUGAAAGAACACUAUAAAUCAACUAUAAUAUUAAAAGAAAAAAAAUUUAAGGAAAACUUUCAUCAACACUGUACCAAUUUUAACCUCAAUUUAGUUUAAGACAUUUCUCUCAAAGUAUAGGGAAAAAAAAAGUAAUUCAAAAAUCUCUGAUGCCUUGAUCAUCUUUGAUACCUCUCACGAGACUUUUAAAGGACCCUUGGAAAUCUGCAGUUUUUUACUCUAUGUUAUUUCUGGGUUUUUUUUUAUGAUGAAAUCGUAGACUAAUAAUUUAUAUAUUUCUUCUUUUAAAAUUUGAAACUGGCUGGCUUAGAUUUUCUCUUUUUUUUUGGUUCUUUUUAGGGCCGCUCCUGAAGCACAUGAAAGUUCUCAGGCUAGGCAUCAAAUCAGAGCUGCAGUUGCCGGCCUACGCCACAGCCACAGCAGCAGUGGAUCCGAGAUGCAUCUGUAACCUACACCACAGCUGUGGCAAUGCCGAAUCUUUAAUCCACUGAGAGAGGCCAGGGGUAGAACUCACAUCCUCAUGGAUACUAGUUGGGUUCUUAACCCACUGAGCCCCAAUGGGAACGUCUAGAUUUCCUCUUUUAUUAUGAGUUCCCUUUGUGGCUCAGUGGUACUGAACCCAACUAAUAUCCAUGAGGAUUUGGGUUCCAUCCCUGGCCUUGCACAGUGGGUCAAGUAUCCGGCAUUGCCCUGAGCUGUGCUGUAGGUCACAGAGAGGGCUCGGAUUCUGUGUUCUGUGGCUGUGGUGUAGGCUGGCAGCUGCAGCUCCAAUUGGACACCUAGCCUGGGAACCUCCAUAUACUGUGGGUAUGGCCCUAAAAAGCAAAAAAAAAUGAAAAAUAAAAAAAGAGAAAAAAUAAAAAUAAAAAACCCAAAAAACCCCAAAAUGAAGUCCAUUGGGAAUGAGACCUGUUAAAGGCCAUUGUCAUUUAUAUUUCAGUAACUAGAAUCUAGUUUGAUUAAGCUUCUAAACAUCUUUGUUAGCUGGUGGGGAAGAGAGCCCAAGAUUGGAGGAUAGGGUGCCUUUUCCAAGGAGAAGGUUCAUUGUUGGAGGAGGGAAAGGGUGCCAAUGGAGAUUGCCCGUAAUGAAUGUCAGUUUAGAUACAUUGCAGCUAAAAAUGACCAAGAUCCAAAACUUUUUCUUAAGCAUAUAAAGGGAACUAUAUUUUUUUGCACUGAAAAACACCCUUUAUUUAGCGCUUUGGUUUUAGCAAACUGUGACCAUUUAGUAGCAAACCAUGCUUUCAUUCAGUCUUUGAAGAAACAUGUGUUACAUUUUAGUUAAAUAGUUUCCUGAUCUUUAGAUUUUGUGACUGGAGAUAUAAUGUAGUUAUUGCAAUGCUCUUUUCCUAGAAGAGAGAGCUACCAAAAUGGGCAUUGUUUUGAAAUACAGCCAACACUAUCCUAAUAUAGCACUCCACCCCUGGGGGUUCAGUUUAUGACAAUGGAAUGCCACAAUAACUAGUCACAAAGGAAUUGAGGUCAUAGUGCAAUGGGGAGCAGGUUCAACCCUAAGCCAGGAUGCUUGUUUUUGAUUUCUGGCCCUGAAUUAAUAGCUUCCAUUACUCUGGACAGGUAAUGAAGGCCAUGACAGUAUAGGCAUCUCAUAAAUAACAGUGUGACUGAGCAAUUCAGUCUAGGUUCCUAAUACUUCACGAUAGCUUCAUUAAGGCAGGUGGUCAAAAUACAGCUGGAAAAAAGAACGUCUAUCCACUGAGUUCAGUUUAGGCCAUACAGACUAGGCUUUUCCUCAUUCUUGCCUGAGUUUCUCCAACUACAGCAAAAUGUUGGUGCCGGUAAGAUAUGAUCUAGAAUCUGUAACUUUUUUCUUCAUUCAUUUAUUCAGCAAAUGUUUAUUGGCCAUGACUGUGUGUCGGUUCCUAUGCUACCCAUCUAAAUUUAUAAUGGCAGGAGUCAGGGGUGUCGGGCUUGAAGACGCACGUAAAAGGAGCCCACCCUACAUCUGGCACCCCUGGGUUCUGCCUCACACUGCAGAUGUUCGGGCCUAUCAGAACUUCACUGCUGGCUCCCCGCUGGGAGGUAACAGCCCAUCUUUGCAGUUAUUGCUGCCUGUUCCUUCUUUUGGUAUAUAGAGGUUGGAGGGGGGGGAAACCAAAAUUUUGAUAUUACAAGUAUCUCAUUGAUCAUAUUUCCUGAAUUUCAUUGUGAUACUAAUAUCUUUAGUCAUUUAUUUUAUAGAUGUCAGCAAUUUAUUUUUGAUAGGUAGCUCAGUGCCUUUUCAAUCAGCAAAAGAAAAACUUGUCCACAUUACAGGAUGGUAAAUUAAAGACACAUUCCAAAUGCACUUUCCUAUACAAUUCAUAGAUGUAUGUGGAAGCAUGCAUACAACUGUUAAGAUACCCUGCCUUGUUGAUUCUUAAGAAUAGAAUUUGAGGGAGUUCCCGUCGUGGCGGAGUGAUUAACGAAUCCGACUAGGAACUAUGAGGUUGCGUGUUCAAUCCUUGCCCUUGCUCAGUGGAUUAACGAUCCGGCGUUGCCCUGAGCUGUGGUGUAGGUCGCAGACGCAGCUCAGAUCCUGCGUUGCUGUUGCUGUGGCUCUGGCGUAGGCCGGUGGCUACAACUCUGAUUCGACCCCUAGCCUGGGAAUCUCCAGAUGCCAUGGAAGCGGCCCUAGAAAAGGCAAAAAG